rnacentral:rRNA from 1 species
UGCAAAAGAAGUGGGUAGUUUAACCUUCGGGAGGACGCUCACCACUUUGUGGUUCAUGACUGGGGUGAAGUCGUAACAAGGUAGCCCUAGGGGAACCUGGGGCUGGAUCACCUCCUUAUACGAAGAU